UACAGAGGUCUCAAGCGUUGUUCGGAUUCAUUGGGCGUAAAGGGUGCGUAGGUGGCAUGGUCAGUCGGAUGUGAAAUCCCGGGGCUCAACCCCGGAACUGCAUUCGAUACUGCCGCGCUAGAGUACUGGAGAGGAGAUUGGAAUUUACGGUGUAGCAGUGAAAUGCGUAGAUAUCGUAAGGAAGACCAGUGGCGAAGGCGAAUCUCUGGACAGUUACUGACACUGAGGCACGAAGGCCAGGGGAGCAAACAGG
rnacentral:rRNA from 1 species